AGCAGGCUGCCCAAGCCAGCAGUGGCAACCCGCUUGGGUCCCCUUCCACACUGUGGAAGCUUUGUUCUUUCACUCUUUGCAAUAAAUCUUGCUACUGUUCACUCUUUGGGUCCACACUGCUUUUAUGAGCUAUAACACUCACCGCAAAGGUCUGCAGCUUCACUCCUGAAGCCAGCGAGACCACAAGCCCACUGGGAGGAACGAACAACUCCAGGCGCGCAAUGAACAACUCCAGGCGCGCCGCCUUAAGAGCUGUAACACUCACCGCGAAGGUCUGCAGUUUCACUCCUAAGCCAGCGAGACCACGAACCCACCAGAAGGAAGAAACUCCAAACACAUCUGAACAUUAGAAGGAACAAACUCCAGAUGCGCCACCUUAAGAGCUGUAACACUCACCGCGAGGGUCCACGGCUUCAUUCUUGAAGUCAGUGAGAGACCAAGAACCCACCAAUUCCGGACACAUUUUGGCGACCAUGAAGGGACUUUCGCCUAUUGCCAAGCGGUGAGACAAUCGCUGAGCAGUGAGACCAUCACCUAUUGCCGAGCGGUGAGACCAUUGCCUAUCGCCAAGCAACAACCUCCUUGGGGCUGAGGCCAGCACAGCGCAAAGCACAGCAAGAGGGGAGCCCGAGCCCCUGGAUCCAGCCAUCCUCCACGGCAAGCUCAGACCACCCGCUCCCUCAGCUCUUUCACAGAACCCUGGUCUACCUAGUUGAUGUCUUAUAUAAUUCCACUAUUAUCUGUGAUUAAUUAAUGUGGAACCACAUGAUUAUCUGUGUGACCUGGUCUGAGGUCUCCCCUAGACUGAGCACCCCCUCUGGACGGCAGGUGAGCAUCUGACCGGUCCACAGCUGUGGCCCCCACACAGCAGCUGGCACACACAGGGGCUCUGCAUGUUAGACUCCUGCAGUAACACCCAGGGGCAUGGGUGCGCCUUACUCCUCUCUGGGAUCCCGGAGCCCAGCACAGCGUCAGCCAGGCACAGCAGAGAGAACAGGAGGUGCAGGCUGAGACAGGGCAGUGCAGUGCCUAAGAGUCUGGGCUGUGGAGUCUGAGAGCUCUGGUUCCAAUCCCAGCGUGGGGCCCUUAGGCAAGGUGUCUCUCCUCCCUGAAAGCAGUCUCACCAGCCAGAGACAGUGUUGGCCCUGCCUUAUGGGCUGUUGUGAGGGUGAGAUGAAUUGACUCCAAGUACUUGGCACCCAGGAAGUGUCCAUUGCUGUGGGGCAUGGCGUGACUGGAAGGAGGAGCCCCAGCCAGCGACCUGGAGUGGUCUGCCCAAGGUCAAGGCCCCAGUACAGCAGAAGCAAGAGCUCUAGAGCUGUCAAAGAC
rnacentral:lncRNA from 1 species